rnacentral:rRNA from 1 species
UACGAAGGGGGCUAGCGUUGCUCGGAAUCACUGGGCGUAAAGCGCACGUAGGCGGCUUCUUAAGUCAGGGGUGAAAUCCUGGAGCUCAACUCCAGAACUGCCUUUGAUACUGAGGAGCUUGAGUCCGGGAGAGGUGAGUGGAAUUGCGAGUGUAGAGGUGAAAUUCGUAGAUAUUCGCAAGAACACCAGUGGCGAAGGCGGCUCACUGGCCCGGUACUGACGCUGAGGUGCGAAAGCGUGGGGAGCAAACAGG